CGUUUGUGAACAAUAUAGUCGCGUUACAUAGGUUCGAUAAUUUUUAUGUAACGUUUUUCGAUAAAUUGUUAGGGUUAGACAGGCCGGGGUUUUUCACUAGCUGCGAAAAAAUGGUGCUGAAUUCGAUCUCGUCGGGUUUGUUUUGAUCGGCAGCCGAAGCAGCCAUCGCGGGAUAUUGAGUUUUAGCCUCGCUAGCGUUUGUGUCCCGUUUGUGUAAAGCGCAGAUUGUUCCGCGUUUUGUCCAACGAAGGUUGUGCCGUUGGCCCACGUCGAGUGCUACAAGUUUUGGUGUGUGCUCGCCGGAUCGGGAGAGCAAAGCGAUAGCUACCCACGGCUAAGAGGCAAGGAACAGCUGAACAGAGAAGACACCACCCCGCCGAAGACUAUUGUUGCAUGCCGUUAGCUCGGGAGCAGCUUGGAAGAAGCAUCAGACGAAUUCAUUAGGAUAGGAGAAGCCAUUCGCCUUGACACCACUGAGUUUUUUGAAUUUUUACCACUUAAGGAAACCGAAAUUUAUCGCUUUCUACGUCUGCAAAAUUCAACACAAAAACCGAUUGUUUCCAGCAGAAAUAUGGACGAAACAGCUAGCAGAAUUGUUUGUGCUGUGCCCGGGUGUCGCCAACGAAGCGAGAUUUGAAAAAACCUUCCAUAACCUCAGAGAAAGAUCUUAGGAGUACCGAGAUAGGUGCAGUUGCACUAGAGUUAUUAGAUACCUAUACAGAAAAAACAAUUGGAGAGUCAAUUAGAAAGAACGGAUUCUUAUUGUAUUCGUUAGAUUAAAAACUAAUUUGUCGUUUUCAUGCGUGGCGGCCAUUUUUCGAAUUGGCUAUAUAACCCGAAGUGUCUGCACUGCCGGAUCAACGCCUUCUCUCAUUACAAAGAAAAGGGACCGUUGAGUAUUUGGUGGCAGUGACACCUGGCGGUACUAUCUCUUUCAUUAGCCAUGGGUAUGGCGUAAAAGCAUCCGAUAAACAAGUAGUCAUCCAGGAAAGAUAUUUGGAUAAGAUAAAUGUAGGCGGAGCAAUUAUGACCGAUAAAGGAUUUUUAACCUCCGCGCUAACCCAGUUAAGUAAACAUUAUGCUACAGAAAACAUUAUGAUAGCAGCAGCUAGGAUACACAAGGAGCGAGCAAUUCAACGGAUUAAGCAGUUUGAUUUCCUUAACGACCAAGUCGACACUAACU